rnacentral:rRNA from 1 species
AUAGUAAACGGGAGAAGGAGGAGGAAUACUAUUUUCUCACUUAGUUGUGGAGAUGAGAUGAUAGAGGGGACUAAAAACCUGUUGAAACAUGCAACAAAGUUCUAUAAGGACCUUUUUGGACCUGCAUCUGGAAAUCUAUGCAAGUUAAAAGAGGAUAUGUGGGAGUCUAAUGAGAAAUUGACAGAUAUUGAUAAUUUCAUUCUUACUAGGCCCUUUUCUGAAACAGAAAUAAAAAAUGCUCUCUUUUCUAUGAAGCCAAAUAAAGCACCAGGACCUGUUAAUAUCCUCAUUUAA